rnacentral:rRNA from 1 species
GGGGAGCGUUCUGUAAGCCUGUGAAGGUGUGUCGUGAGGCAUGCUGGAGGUAUCAGAAGUGCGAAUGCUGACAUAAGUAACGAUAAAGCGGGUGAAAAGCCCGCUCGCCGGAAGACCAAGGGUUCCUGUCCAACGUUAAUCGGGGCAGGGUGAGUCGACCCCUAAGGCGAGGCCGAAAGGCGUAGUCGAUGGGAAACGGGUUAAUAUUCCCGUACUUGGUGUUACUGCGAAGGGGGGACGGAGAAGGCUAUGUUGGCCGGGCGACGGUUGUCCCGGUUUAAGCGUGUAGGUGUGUGUUCCAGGUAAAUCCGGUUCACUUUAACACUGAGGCGUGACGACGAGGCACUACGGUGCUGAAGCAACAAAUGCCCUGCUUCCAGGAAAAGCCUCUAAGCAUCAGGUAACACGAAAUCGUACCCCAAACCGACACAGGUGGUCAGGUAGAGAAUACCAAGGCGCUUGAGAGAACUCGGGUGAAGGAACUAGGCAAAAUGGUGCCGUAACUUCGGGAGAAGGCACGCUGACACGUAGGUGAAGUGAUUUACUCAUGGAGCUGAAGUCAGUCGAAGAUACCAGCUGGCUGCAACUGUUUAUUAAAAACACAGCACUGUGCAAACACGAAAGUGGACGUAUACGGUGUGACGCCUGCCCGGUGCCGGAAGGUUAAUUGAUGGGGUCAGCGUAAGCGAAGCUCCUGAUCGAAG